CCUACGGGAGGCAGCAGUGAGGAAUAUUGGUCAAUGGGCGCGAGCCUGAACCAGCCAAGCCGCGUGAGGGAAGACGGCCCUAUGGGUUGUAAACCUCUUUUGUCGGAGAACAAAACCCGGGACGUGUCCCGGACUGCGUGUAUCCGACGAAAAAGCAUCGGCUAACUCCGUGCCAGCAGCCGCGGUAAUACGGAGGAUGCGAGCGUUAUCCGGCUUUAUUGGGUUAAAAGGGUGCGUAGGCGGGCCGUUAAGUCAGCGGUAAAAUUGCGGGGCUCAACCCCGUCGAGCCGUUGAAACUGGCAGACUUGAGUGGGCGAGAAGUACGCGGAAUGCGCGGUGUAGCGGUGAAAUGCAUAGAUAUCGCGCAGAACUCCGAUUGCGAAGGCAGCGUACCGGCGCCAGACUGACGCUGAGGCACGAAAGCGUGGGGAUCGAACAGGAUUAGAUACCCUUGUAGUC
rnacentral:rRNA from 1 species